rnacentral:rRNA from 1 species
AUUGAACGCUGGCGGCAUGCUUUACACAUGCAAGUCGAACGGCAGCACGAGUGCUUGCACUUGGUGGCGAGUGGCGAACGGGUGAGUAAUACAUCGGAACGUGUCCUGAAGUGGGGGAUAACGCAUCGAAAGAUGUGCUAAUACCGCAUAAUCUCUCAGGAGGAAAGCAGGGGAUCGAAAGACCUUGCGCUUUUUGGAGCGGCCGAUGUCUGAUUAGCUAGUUGGUGGGGUAAUGGCCUACCAAGGCAACGAUCAGUAGUUGGUCUGAGAGGAUGAUCAGCCACACCGGAACUGAGACACGGUCCGGACUCCUACGGGAGGCAGCAGUGGGGAAUAUUGCGCAAUGGGCGAAAGCCUGACGCAGCCAUACCGCGUGUGUGAAGAAGGGCCUUCGGGUUGUUAAGGCACUUCAGUGGGAGGAAAGACGU